rnacentral:misc_RNA from 1 species
UCCUCCUUACAGAGGCAGUUUGUUUUGAGUUCCCGACAUUACUCGCUGGCAACAAAACAUGAGGGUUGCGCUCGUUGCGGGACUUAACCCAACAUUUCACAACACGAGCUGACGACAGCCAUGCACCACCUGUGCAACACCUUCGAAAGCGGCUCCGUUUCGGGAGCUUGCAGUUGCAUGUCAAGCCCUGGUAAGGUUCUUCGCGUUGCAUCGAAUUAAGCCACAUGCUCCACCGCUUGUGCGGGCCCCCGCCAAUUCCUUUGAGUUUCAACCUUGCGGCCGUAGUCCCCAGGCGGUUCACUUAAUGCGUUAGCUGCGGCACCGAGGGAAACCCCCGACACCUAGUGAACAUCGUUUAUGGCCAAGACUAC